UGAGUACGAGAUGCUACGGCAUCGAAGCAGUCUAUGUCAUACUUCCAAGAAAAGCUUGCAAUGUCAUAAACAAAUAAUGCCUGUACCAUAACCGACACAGGUGGGUAGGUAGAGUAUACUAAGGGGCGCGAGAUAACUCUCUCUAAGGAACUCGGCAAAAUGACUCCGUAACUUCGGGAGAAGGAGUGCCUUAUUUUUAUAAGGUUGCAAUAACAAGAUCCAAGCAACUGUUUACCAAAAACACAGGUCUCCGCUAAGUCGUAAGACGAUGUAUGGGGGCUGACGCCUGCCCAGUGCCAGAAGGUUAAAGAAGUUGGUUAGCAUUAGCGAAGCUGAUAACUGAAGCCCUGGUGAACGGCGGCCGUAACUAUAACGAUCCUAAGGUAGCGAAAUUCCUUGUCGGGUAAGUUCCGACCCGCACGAAAGGCGUAAUGAUUUGGAUACUGUCUCGGAGAGGGGCUCGGUGAAAUAGACUUGUCUGUGAAGAUGCGGACUACCUGCACCUGGACAGAAAGACCCUAUGAAGCUUUACUGUAACUUGAGAUUGAAAUUGGACUUUAUCUGCGCAGUAUAGGUGGGAGACGUUGAAAAUGUUCUUGCGGGAAUAUUGGAGUCAUCAGUGAGAUACCACUCUUAUAAUGUUAGAUUUCUAACUUUGUAUCAUUAUCUGGUCAAAGAACAGUUUCAGGCGGGCAGUUUGACUGGGGCGGUCGCCUCCCAAACGGUAACGGAGGCGCACAAAGGUUUCCUCUGAACGUGUAGAAAUCGUAUCUAGAGUGUAAAGGCAUAAGGAAGCUUGACUGUGAGACCUACAAGUCGAGCAGGGACGAAAGUCGGUCUUAGUGAUCUGACGGUGCUGAGUGGAAAGGCCGUCACUCAACGGAUAAAAGUUACUCUAAGGAUAACAGGCUGAUCUCCCCCAAGAGUUCACAUCGACGGGGAGGUUUGGCACCUCGAUGUCGGCUCAUCGCAUCCUGGGGCGGUAGUACGUCCCAAGGGUUGGGCUGUUCGCCCAUGAAAGCGGUACGCGAGCUGGGUUCAGAACGUCGUGAGACAGUUCGGUCCAUAUCCGGUGUAGGCGUUAGAAUAUUGAGAGGAGCCUUCUUUAGUACGAGAGGACCGAGAAGGACAUACCUCUGGUGUACCAGUUAUCGUGCCAACGGUAAACGCUGGGUAGCCAUGUAUGGAGAGGAUAACCGCUGAAAGCAUCUAAGUGGGAAGCCCACCUCAAGAUAAG
rnacentral:rRNA from 1 species